rnacentral:piRNA from 1 species
AAGAUUGACUUGACCCUGCUUAAUAGGCU